rnacentral:tRNA from 1 species
GGGCGGGUAGCUUAGUGGCUGGAGCGCUCGGCUGAUAACCGAGAGGUCGUGGGUUCGAAUCCCACCCCGCCCA